CUGCUGAGCCAACAGAAGACUGAAGCUCAUCUUGAGAAGAUGAAGCUUAGGUUCAUGGCCAAUUGACUUUAGAUCAAGUAGGAGUUUGUUAGAUGUAUGCUCUAGAAGCAUAAUUUUAUAAUUAAAAUUUUUAAAUAAAUAAAAUUUGAAUUAUUUUUUUAAUCAUGUUGUGUUUGAAUUAUGUCUAUGAAUCAUUUAAAAAAUUAACAGAUGAUGAUAUAUAC
rnacentral:lncRNA from 1 species